ACAACCCCAAGAUCAGGAGUCACAUGCUCUUCCAACUAAAUCAGCCAAGUUCCCAAGACUGACUUUCUUUGUAUAUCUGGAAAUACGGCAUUCCCAAGUUUUGCAUCUGGCUAUUUCUACCAUUAGAAAAGAACUAAUACCCUUAAUUCAAGUUUGAGAAAUCCUGGGGGAAAAAAGUGCUGAUCGUCCAGGCUUGGAUCAGUGCUCAUCCCUAGAACAAUCCCAGGGCCAAGAGAAAAGUUAGGGUACACCAUAGAUGUACACCAUAGUACUCACUAAUCAGAUGAGAAAAAGUGAGAGAUGGAUCUGGAAAGGCAGUUGAGAAUUGUAAGACUGUGCUCUGGAAGCUGGUAAGGACUGAACCUGGCAUCUGCAAAACGAGUUUUUUAACCAAGGGGUUGUGGGAGAGUGGCGGGAAUGUGUUGGCCCAAAAUCACGGUUAACAUUUUCUAGACUAUGAGUUAAGAUAGGGUUGAAACUUUUGUUAUUAUUCAAAUUGAUUAAUGUUUUGUCAUUUCAGUCAGGAUGUUAUGAAACAUGGUGGAUCUCUCACAUUGACUUUAACGACAGCAAGACCUGGGAUCCUUCUUCAACCUUCUAGCUGGUUGACUUUAGAGAACGUAGAAGAUUUUCAUUUCUACAGGCCACCACCCUUUGUUUGCAAUCAUCAUUAGCAUUUGCCAUUGGCACAUCAACAGUCCAUUACGAUUCUCAAAUUGGAGCUCACUUCACUUCCAUUUUGACCAACUCCAUGGUGGGCUGUAGGAGUCUCAAUCGCACAUUGGAAAAAAGAGGCCUCAAGUGGGGAAGGCUGCCUACUUCAUAGCUGUUCCAGGACAAAGCCAGAGCCCGGCCCCAAUGCACGGAGAGCCUCAGGCAGGGUUCUGAGUGACCUGGCUGAUCCUGAAGCUGGAGCUGAUACCGGAGCCAGCUCCAAGUGGGUUAUCUGGGACUGGCCUUGACUGUGCUGCAGAGUGGCCUGUGGGUGGACACUCUCUGAGCAGCUGGGUCUGAUGCAAACAUUGACAUCGGCAGAAUCAUCUUGACCAAGUGGGGUGAGGGCAGGGCAGGGCAGGGCGGGGCUGAAGGGACAGGCCUUGCAUACCAUCCAGGUACACCCAGGGAUCUGGAAUCCCAGGGGCUUGCCCAAAUUUUAUCCCCUGGAUACAUUACACCCCUCUGGGGCUACGACAUAGGCCCCUUUUGGGAGGGUCCCUGAAAGUGAGGAAAGGGCAGUAAUGGUCAGAGCCCCUACGCCUCCAGAAGGCAGCCUAGCAUGUGGGGAAUUUCCUUCAAGGGCCAGGAAAUCAUAAUAACCGCUGCUGAGCACAGGUUGUAUGCCAGGCUCACCCAGCACUUGCCUGGCAUUUUCCGUGGGUCCUCAGAAGCAGACAGACCUCCAGCUUCAGAGCCAUCAGGACCAGGAUAGUGGGAGAUGGCUCCGGCCUGGAACUUCCCACUGCUCAGGGCUGCAACAGAGGUGGUGGGGACAGGAACGCAGGGAGAACAGGGGCUGUUGUCUGAGAGGGACAGGGGUUUAGCUUUGCUUCCCUUCAUUUGUUACUAAAGAAAAGAAAGUAAUCUGACUUUAAACUAACAAAUCCAAUACGCCAGCUGCAGGCCAGACUGCCCACGUGUGAAACCUAGAAAAAACCUUGAGUUCAUCUGUCUAAACAUGGGGAAACUGAGGCCCACAGACAUGACAGGACUGGCUUGACUUGAUGGACCGGGACUUUAAUAUAGGUGUCUCCUCUCCUUGUGUAUCGUAAUUUCCAUCCAGGAAGGGAGGGGCUGUUAUCCUAAAGGUGUCAGACUUCAGGUAACGAGGACCGGCACCCUCCUCUUCCUCACACUUCAUGCACCACCUCUUGCCCACAACCCCAUUCAGAAUGAGUCACCCAAGCAUUAACAGUAAAUAAAGGUACUGUCUCUGGGU